rnacentral:rRNA from 1 species
CAGUAGCCGCGGGAAUACAGAGGAUGCAAGCGUUAAUCGGAGUUACUGGGCGUAAAGGGCGCGUAGGCGGUUAUAUAAGUGAGAUGUGAAAUCCCUGGGCUUAACCUAGGAACUGCAUCUUAUACUGUAUGGCUAGAGUAUUGUAGAGGGUAGUGGAAUUUCCGGUGUAGCGGUGAAAUGCGUAGAGAUCGGAAGGAACACCUGUGGCGAAAGCGGCUCACUGGACCAUUUCUGACGCUGAUGCACGAAAGCUAGGGGAGCAAACAGGAUUAGAUACCCCUGUAGUCCCUGUCUCUUAUAC